AGGCUUAACACAUGCAAGUCGAGCGGGCACUUCGGUGUCAGCGGCGGACGGGUGAGUAACGCGUGGGAACGUGCCUUCUGGUUCGGAAUAACUCAGGGAAACUUGAGCUAAUACCGGAUACGCCCUUAUGGGGAAAGGUUUACUGCCGGAAGAUCGGCCCGCGUCUGAUUAGCUAGUUGGUGGGGUAACGGCCUACCAAGGCGACGAUCAGUAGCUGGUCUGAGAGGAUGAUCAGCCACACUGGGACUGAGACACGG
rnacentral:rRNA from 1 species